UGUCCUUUUUUCUUCUUGUGCUUUCUUUUCCUUGAUCUUCUUCCUUAAUAGCAAGAUCUUCGGAACGAAGAUCAAGAGCAACAAAGUUGUUGUUAUGAUGAAGACAAAUG
rnacentral:ribozyme from 12 species